UGGGGAAUAUUGCACAAUGGACGAAAGUCUGAUGCAGCAACGCCGCGUGGAGGAUGACACAUUUCGGUGCGUAAACUCCUUUUAUAUGAGAAGAUAAUGACGGUAUUAUAUGAAUAAGCACCGGCUAACUCCGUGCCAGCAGCCGCGGUAAUACGGGGGUGGCAAGCGUUACUCGGUAAUCGACUGGGGCGUAAAAGAGCAUGUAGGCGGAUUAAUAAGUUUGAAGUGAAAUCCUAUAGCUUAACUAUAGAACUGCUUUGAAAACUGUUAAUCUAGAAUGUGGGAGAGGUAGAUGGAAUUUCUGGUGUAGGGGUAAAAUCCGUAGAGAUCAGAAGGAAUACCGAUUGCGAAGGCGAUCUACUGGAACAUUAUUGACGCUGAGAUGCGAAAGCGUGGGGAGCAAACAGGAUUAGAUACCCUGGUAGUCCACGCCCUAAACGAUGUACACUAGUUGUUGUGAGACUUGAUCUUGCAGUAAUGCAGUUAACACAUUAAGUGUACCGCCUGGGGAGUACGGUCGCAAGAUUAAAACUCAAAGGAAUUGACGGACUCUCGUACU
rnacentral:rRNA from 1 species